GUAGUUCUAUCUCCCUGGGCAACAGUGGAAUAGAUCGAAGAUUAUAGAUCUAUCUCCCUAAGCAAUAGUGGAGCAGGUUGAAGACGGCGGAUUUUACCUCCCUGAUUACAGUGGAGUACAUUGAAGCUGGUAGUUCUAUCUCCCUGGGCAACAGUGGAAUAGAUCGAAGAUUACAGAUCUUAUCUCCCUAAGCAAUAGUGGAGCAGGUCGAAGACGGCGGAUUUUACCUCCCUAAUUACAGUGGAGUACAUUGAAGCUGGUAGUUCUAUCUCCCUGGAUAACAGUGGAAUAGAUCGAAGAAAACAACAUUCAGUCUUAUCUCCCUAAGCAGUAGUGGAGCAGACGAAGAAAACAACAAAUCUCAUUCCCAUGGAGUUGCAGCAGAAUAGAUUUAAGUCAUGUUUCUCUGGAGCGCAGUGAAGUGGAUUGAAGCAACGAGACACAGCAGAACAGAAUAAGGCUACUUGAAGAAUAUGAGCACCAAAAAGUCAAGACUCGGCAAGACCGGGCAAAAUUGGCCCUUUUGAUGUCUUUGCUCUAUUCUCGUUACACGAAAAUGAGCAAAGAGGGGCAGCUGUAAAAGCCCAUUUUUGCCCGGGCCCAUACCAACAAAAUAACCCAAAUAAUAAACCCAAAAGUAACAGCCCAUUUACAAACCCAAACUUUGACCCAAAAUUUAAACCCAAACAAAUUAAAACCCUAAAAGCCCAAUCAGCCCACAACCUUAACUAAUUUUCAGCAAACAAAAAAACUAGCCGCUCCUCCCUCUGUCCCCAAGAUUCAGUCGCCCCAUGCUACCUCUGCCCUUAGCCAUCACGUGCACCACCCACACCUGACACACCUGCAACAGAGACAAAAACAACAGCAAAAGGAAGCAUGCGAGGGAUGGGGGAAAGAAUAAACAAAAGAACGAAAACAAAAAAUAGGAAAUGAAUGUUUUAUAGAUCGGCUUUAAAAAGCCAAAAUCGAUCACAAAAAGGGGGGAUUUUUAUGUUUUUUUUUGAGAUUUCAAAGGGAAGAAUCGGUUGUAUUUUGGGGGGGGUUUCUUUUUUUUUCGGCAUUUUAAUACAAAAAGCAGAGAAAAAUACAAAAAAAAAGGAAACAAGGAACGAAAACAUAAAUCGGAAGGUGAUUUUGUUUUUCUCUAUUAUCUUCUUAAAUCCAUUUUUUUCCUUUUUCUUCCUCAUUUCUAGCAUAUAUAUACACAUAUAAUCGAAAAAUAA
rnacentral:lncRNA from 1 species